UACGGGGGGGGCAAGCGUUGUUCGGAAUUACUGGGCGUAAAGGGCUCGUAGGUGGCCAACUAAGUCAGACGUGAAAUCCCUCGGCUUAACCGGGGAACUGCGUCUGAUACUGGAUGGCUUGAGUUCGGGAGAGGGAUGCGGAAUUCCAGGUGUAGCGGUGAAAUGCGUAGAUAUCAGGAGGAAUACCGGUGGUGUAGACGGCUCUCUGGACCGCCACUGACGCUGAGACACGAAAGCGUGGGUAGCAAACAGG
rnacentral:rRNA from 1 species